rnacentral:misc_RNA from 1 species
GAUGAAGAACGUAUCGAAAUGCGAUAAGUAAUGUGAAUUGCAGAAUUCAGUGAAUCAUCGAAUCUUUGAACGCACAUUGCGCCCGCCAGUAUUCUGGCGGGCAUGCCUGUCCGAGCGUCAUUUCAACCCUCGAACCCCUCCGGGGGGUCGGCGUUGGGGAUCGGGAACCCCUAAGACGGGAUCCCGGCCCCGAAAUACAGUGGCGGUCUCGCCGCAGCCUCUCCUGCGCAGUAGUUUGCACAACUCGCACCGGGAGCGCGGCGCGUCCACGUCCGUAAAACACCCAACUUCUGAAAUGUUGACCUCGGAUCAGGUAGGAAUACCCGCUGAACUUAAGCAUAUCAAUAAGCGGAGGA